rnacentral:tRNA from 1 species
GCCUGGGUAGCUUAGUAGGUUAAGCGUCUGACUUUGGCUCAGGUCAUGCUCUCACCAUCCGUGAGUUCGAGCCCCGCGUCAGGCU